AGUGAACGCUGGCGGUAGGCCUAACACAUGCCAGUCGAACGGCAGCACAGUAAGAGCUUGCUCUUACGGGUGGCGAGUGGCGGACGGGUGAGGAAUACAUCGGAAUCUACUUUUUCGUGGGGGAUAACGUAGGGAAACUUACGCUAAUACCGCAUACGACCUACGGGUGAAAGCAGGGGAUCUUCGGACCUUGCGCGAUUGAAUGAGCCGAUGUCGGAUUAGCUAGUUGGCGGGGUAAAGGCCCACCAAGGCGACGAUCCGUAGCUGGUCUGAGAGGAUGAUCAGCCACACUGGAACUGAGACACGGUCCAGACUCCUACGGGAGGCAGCAGUGGGGAAUAUUGGACAAUGGGCGCAAGCCUGAUCCAGCCAUACCGCGUGGGUGAAGAAGGCCUUCGGGUUGUAAAGCCCUUUUGUUGGGAAAGAAAAGCAGCAGGUUAAUAUCCCGCUGUUCUGACGGUACCCAAAGAAUAAGCACCGGCUAACUUCGU
rnacentral:rRNA from 1 species